ACAAUUCACUUCAAUCGAUUCAAUUUGUCUGCUCAUAAUCUUUGGAGAAUUUUUUCUUCAGGCAUAUGAGAAAGGAUUGAUGAUUGCGGUCAUACCAUUCACUUCAAAGAUCCUUGAACCUUGCCAGUCAAGUAUCGCAUAUCGACCUCCAAAUCCCUGGACCAUGGGAAUUCUAAGUCUACUUGCUGAAAUUUAUAAUCUUCCAAACCUCAAGAUGAAUCUGAAAUUUGAUAUUGAGGUGCUAUUUAAGAACCUUACUGUUGACAU